ACUUAUUAGGCGAAAACCAAUCGGCUUCGGCCGUUGGUGGACGACACCCGAGUAAUUGCCGCCGAUCGCACGGCCUCGGGCCGGCGACGCCUCCACUGAGUUUCUGAUCUAUCAUGCUGUCGACGGUUGGUGCUAUGCCAACCGUGGCGUUAACGGAUAACAGAGAAUCUGGGUUCGAUUCUGGAGAGGCCGCAUGAGAAACGGCGACCACUUCCAAGGAAGGCAGCAGGCACGCAAAUUACCCACUUCGGACACCGAGAGGUAGUGACGAACAAUACCGAUGCGGUGCACUUACGAGUCGCCGUAAUCGGAAUGAGUACACUUCAAAUCCUUUAACGAGGAUCCACUGGAGGGCAAGCCUGGUGCCAGCAGCCGCGGUAAUUCCAGCUCCAGCAGCGUAUAUUUAUAUUGCUGCGUUUAAAAAGCUCGUAGUUGAAGCGUCAGACGCGGGGAGGACGGACGGCCGCACUGGUCGCUUCUCGUCCGACCGA
rnacentral:rRNA from 1 species